rnacentral:rRNA from 1 species
CCUACGGGGUGCAGCAGUGAGGAAUAUUGGUCAAUGGGCUUACGCCUGAACCAUCCAAGUCGCGUGAGGGAAGACUGCCCUAUGGGUUGUAACCCUCUUUUGUCAGGGAGCAAUUUGCGCUACGUGUAGCGUUAUCUAGAGUACCUGAAGACAAAGCCUCGGCUCACUCCUUGCCAGCAGCCGCGGUAAUACGGAGGAUGCGAGCGUUAUACGGAUUUAUUGGGGUUAAAGGGUGCGUAGGCGGAAUGCCAAGUCAGCGGUAAAAUCGCGGGGCUCAACCUCUCUCCGCCGUUGAACCUGGCGUUCUGGAGUGGGCGAGAAGUAUGCGGAAUGAGUGGUGUAGCGGUGAAAUGCAUAGAUAUCACGCAGAACUCCGAUUGCGAAGGCAGCAUACCGGCGCCCAACUGACGCUGAAGCACGAAAGCGUGGGUAUCGAACAGGAUUAGAUACCCCUGUAGUC